rnacentral:rRNA from 1 species
AACCUGCCUCAUACAGGGGGAUAACAGUUAGAAAUGACUGCUAAUACCGCAUAAGCGCACGGUGUCGCAUGACACAGUGUGAAAAACUCCGGUGGUAUGAGAUGGACCCGCGUCUGAUUAGCUAGUUGGCGAGGUAACGGCCCACCAAGGCGACGAUCAGUAGCCGACCUGAGAGGGUGAUCGGCCACAUUGGGACUGAGACACGGCCCAAACUCCUACGGGAGGCAGCAGUGGGGAAUAUUGCACAAUGGGGGAAACCCUGAUGCAGCGACGCCGCGUGAAGGAAGAAGUAUUUCGGUAUGCAAACUUCUAUCAGCAGGGAAGAAAAUGACGGUACCUGACUAAGAAGCCCCGGCUAACUACGUGCCAGCAGCCGCGGUAAUACGUAGGGGGCAAGCGUUAUCCGGAUUUACUGGGUGUAAAGGGAGCGUAGGCGGACUGACAAGUCAGAAGUGAAAGCCCGGGGCUCAACUCCGGGACUGCUUUUGAAACUGCCGGACUAGAUUGCAGGAGAGGUAAGUGGAAUUCCUAGUGCAGCGGUGAAAUGCGUAGAUAUUAGGAGGAACAUCAGUGGCGAAGGCGGCUUACUGGGCUUUAACUGACGCUGAGGCUCGAA